rnacentral:tRNA from 1 species
GCAUACGUGGUGUAGUGGUCAACACACUCGGUGUAACCGAGAGGUCUAUGGUUCGAUUCCCGGCAAAGGCA